rnacentral:tRNA from 1 species
AUUAAGGUGUCUGAAAAUAGGUGGUAAAUUGUAAAUUUACUUAAGAAUUUAAAAAUUCUCUUAAUA